CGACCGCGAUCUGCGGGCAAAUGAGGUGGAUGUGGCCAUCGAUUCCGCCGGCGGUCACGAUCAUGUGCUCGCCCGCGAUCACCUCGGUGCCUGCACUGAUCACCAUUCCUGGCGUAACACCGUCCAUGGUGUCCGGGUUGCCAGCGGCGCCGAUGUGGCUGAUCCGCCCUGCCUUGAUGCCGAUGUCUGCCUUGACGAUGCCCCAGUGGUCGAUGAUGACCGCGUUCGUGAUCACGAGAUCGAGCGCUUCCCCGGGCGAGGCGGUCUGCGCCAUGCCGUCACGGAUGG
rnacentral:sRNA from 1 species